rnacentral:rRNA from 1 species
CAGUAGCCGCGGUAAUACGGAGGGUGCAAGCGUUAAUCGGAAUUACUGGGCGUAAAGCGUGCGUAGGCGGUUCGUUAAGUCUGUUGUGAAAGCCCCGGGCUCAACCUGGGAAUGGCAAUGGAUACUGGCGAGCUAGAGUGUGUCAGAGGAUGGUGGAAUUCCCGGUGUAGCGGUGGAAUGCGUAGAGAUCGGGAGGAACAUCAGUGGCGAAGGCGGCCAUCUGGGACAACACUGACGCUGAGGCACGAAAGUGUGGGGAGCAAACAGGAUUAGAUACCCGCGUAGUCCCUGUCUCUUAUAC